UACGUAGGGGGCAAGCGUUGUCCGGAUUUAUUGGGCGUAAAGAGCGUGUAGGCGGCCAAAUAGGUCGGUUGUGAAAACUGGAGGCUUAACCUCCAGACGUCGACCGAAACCAUCUGGCUAGAGUCCGGAAGAGGAGAGUGGAAUUCCUGGUGUAGCGGUGAAAUGCGCAGAUAUCGGGAAGAACACCCGUGGCGAAGGCGGCUCUCUGGAACGCAACUGACGCUGAGACGCGAAAGCGUGGGGAGCAAACAGG
rnacentral:rRNA from 1 species